rnacentral:rRNA from 1 species
AAAUUGAAGAGUUUGAUCAUGGCUCAGAUUGAACGCUGGCGGCAGGCCUAACACAUGCAAGUCGAACGGUAGCACAGAGAGCUUGCUCUCGGGUGACGAGUGGCGGACGGGUGAGUAAUGUCUGGGAAACUGCCUGAUGGAGGGGGAUAACUACUGGAAACGGUAGC